AACGAACGCUGGCGGCAUGCCUAACACAUGCAAGUCGAACGAGACCUUCGGGUCUAGUGGCGCACGGGUGCGUAACGCGUGGGAAUCUGCCCUUGGGUUCGGAAUAACAGUUGGAAACGACUGCUAAUACCGGAUGAUGACGUAAGUCCAAAGAUUUAUCGCCCAAGGAUGAGCCCGCGUAGGAUUAGCUAGUUGGUGAGGUAAAGGCUCACCAAGGCGACGAUCCUUAGCUGGUCUGAGAGGAUGAUCAGCCACACUGGGACUGAGACACGGCCCAGACUACUACGGGAGGCAGCAGUGGGGAAUAUUGGACAAUGGGCGAAAGCCUGAUCCAGCAAUGCCGCGUGAGUGAUGAAGGCCUUAGGGUUGUAAAGCUCUUUUACCCGGGAUGAUAAUGACAGUACCGGGAGAAUAAGCUCCGGCUAACUCCGUG
rnacentral:rRNA from 1 species